rnacentral:rRNA from 1 species
AACGAACGCUGGCGGCAGGCCUAACACAUGCAAGUCGAACGCUCGUAGCAAUACGAGAGUGGCAGACGGGUGAGUAACACGUGGGAACCUUCCCUAUGGUUCGGAAUAGCCCAGGGAAACUUGGGGUAAUACCGGAUAAGCCCUUCGGGGGAAAGAUUUAUCGCCUUAGGAUCGGCCCGCGUCGGAUUAGCUAGUUGGUGGGGUAAUGGCCUACCAAGGCGACGAUCCGUAGCUGGUUUGAGAGAACGACCAGCCACACUGGGACUGAGACACGGCCCAGACCCCUACGGGAGGCAGCAGUGGGGAAUCUUGGACAAUGGGCGCAAGCCUGAUCCAGCCAUGCCGCGUGGAUGAUGAAGGCCUUAGGGUUGUAAAAUCCUUUCGUUGGGGACGAUAAUGACGGUACCCAAAGAAGAAGCUCCGGCUAACUUCGUGCCAGCCGCCGCCGUAACAC